GUGGGAAAGUAGUUAAUAUAGUAGGCUUAUAGGUUUAUACCGAUUGAGCUACUGUAUAAUUAUAAUAAACAUGAUCUUUUGUUUACAAUCAGGCUACGGUAUAUAGUUAUAUCUAUGUGUACUGUUGUGUGCUGCACUUGCAGAGUUCAAAAAUGGCCUACUCUCCUCUCAUUCUAUUGGUUCUCCCCACUAUACCCACACAAUGCGGGAUGGAUCACCCCCUCUGACUAAUACUAAUGGUGUUUCCCAUGGCAACCACAUGCGGCAUCCUCUAUAGAGGUCCACGGCCAAGCACAAGUGGCACACCAGCCACAACCAGUGCAUGGACCAUGCAUGCUGAUGAACUAGAUACUGACCUAACACUCCUGGACAAUGAGUGGCUCGACAGUUUGGCAAAUGAUCUCGGGCCACCGCAAGAACUACUAUCUAUAUUAGAUGACUCAAGGGGUCCUAGUUAAUUGCUAACUCUCUUCUUCAUGAUUGUUUAUUUUCUGUAACAUUUUCAUCUGCUUCUAACAGACUCCACACACAUAAUUAUACUUAUCAUCACUGAAAUAAUUAUGUCAAAUCUUAUGUACUCUUAUUAGUAAU